ACUCUGUUACAACAGAGCUGUUCGGGGACGAACUUUCACAGGCUGUCAGAGACAUAAGUGAAACAAACAAACUUUCAUAUAGCGUGUCAAAAUACGCUUAUGGUAACGUCAAGGGUGCUUCCCGAUAUAACAACAAAGGGAAGGCUGGCUUGAGGCCUUACAACAACAAACCCUAUGACAGGCCGCACUACAAUUAUGGCGGACCAGGUGGUGGUAACUACCGUCAACAAAAUCAUGGCCAUGGGGGCCCACCAAACUAUCACAAGAAGUCAAAAAACUUCAAGAAGGGACAGGAGCGAAAAUAGCUUUGCCCGACACCACUCCUGUCCUUACCGAGCAAGAAGACCUUGACUCAUCCUCAUCAAAGGGAAAAACAACCACCCAGGAUGACACUACUAGCAUGCAAGGUUUCCGGAGUGCAAUCCAAAAAUGGAGAUUUUCUCAAGAGACUUAAUCAAUCUUGUUGUCCUUAUGGCGUGAUGGAACCUACAAACAAUACAACACCUACAUUCAGAAGUGGUAUCAGUAUUCAGACCAGAGGUCAUGUGAUCCCAUGUCACCAUCUGUGACGGACAUAUUGGAAUUUCUCACAAGUUUAUUCCACGGAGGCAUUGGGUACAGUGCACUGAAUACGGCGCGGUCAGCCUUAUCAACAUUUAUAUAUAUUGACAAUCUACCGUGUGGAAACCACCCGUUAGUGAAAAGGUUUUUAUGAGGUGUAUUUCAACUACAACCGGCGCUACCACGAAAUGCUGUUACAUGAGACCCUCAACAAGUACUCGUGUUCCUGGAACAUUAGAUUGUGCUACAAUUAAAAAUCUCACCCUGAAGCUUACUUUGAAGUCUUGGCAUUGUUGACAGGGCAACGGGCCCAGUCAUUACAUCUGUUAGACUUGAGAAACAUUACAAUUGAUGCAGGGUCAGUCAAAAUCCGGUUUGGUGACAAAUUGAAACAUACAAGGCCUGGGCACCAUCAACAGGAAAUUGUACUUAAUUCCUUUUCCACUCCAGAGUUGUGUAUUGUUAAUGCACUUACACGAUACUUGGCUCAAACUGAACAGCUUCGAGUAGGGGCCACCCAGUUGCUCAUUAGCUACCAAAAGCCUUAUCCAGAUGGAUUAGGACAGUGUUGUCCCAGGCUGGGAUUGUUAUGACAAUUUUUACGCCUCAUAGUACUAGGUCAGCUUCAACUUCCGCUGCACUACGGACUGCAGUACCUUGAGUACUAUCCUUAAAACAGCAGGGUGGACAAAUAAUUGUACCUUUGUUACUAUAACAAACCUGUGACAGACCCUGUCUACAAGAUUUGUUUGUAAAAUGUGCAAAUUUGACUUUUAAGUGAGAUUGGACUUCCAUGUGUUACAUAUGAUGCAUACAGCAUUGACAUUGUAUUGCUCGAAUGAAUAUAUGUGUUGGAUUAACCUUAAUAGGUCAGAUAUGAACUCUGAUGACUUAUAGUUAUAGUAGAAUAGUAGUUAUACUUAUGAUUUUAGAGUAGUUAAGUACUACCAUUUUUCUUUGGAUUUGAAUUUAUAGUGAUGAACAGACUUUAUUACAUGUGAAUGCAUGUACAAGUAGUGUGAUUCAGUUUUAUGUUCUAGUCAGGAUGAAGUUAUUUUUAUCAUGUGAAUGGUUAUUAUGCUGAUGAUUGAGUGAUAAGUUUUGCGUUGCAUUGUCAUGACAUUACUUGUAGUGAUACUGGUGAUUAUUUUGAAUAUAAGAUUUGACGUUA